rnacentral:tmRNA from 1 species
GGGGCAGUACCGGUUUCGACAGGGACUGUGCAGCUGGUGAAGCUAUCCGUAUGCAAUGCGUUAAAUGGCAAACUUAAAAUUAAACGCAAAUAACAAAGAAUUUGCUCUUGCUGCUUAAUUGCAGCUUGUGUCGGCCUUAGCGCACUCACACGCUGAGAAUCCGGCAUCGACUUUGUGAGAAACGACGACGGGAAGGUUCCGCACCGCCGGGCGUAUAAGGAACUACUGAACUUCUGAGGGUGUCCUUCCCCGCAGGACAGAGGGAAUGUCAAAUGACGGACUAUGAUAGUAGAAGAACAGGGAAUCGGUUUUUGGACACGGGUUC